rnacentral:rRNA from 1 species
UGGAAGUAAAAGUCGUAACAAGGUCUCCGUUGGUGAACCAGCGGAGGGAUCAUUACCGAGUUUACAACUCCCAAACCCAAUGUGAACGUUACCAAACUGUUGCCUCGGCGGGAUCUCUGCCCCGGGUGCGUCGCAGCCCCGGACCAAGGCGCCCGCCGGAGGACCAACCAAAACUCUUUUUGUAUACCCCCUCGCGGGUUUUUUAUAAUCUGAGCCUUCUCGGCGCCUCUCGUAGGCGUUUCGAAAAUGAAUCAAAACUUUCAACAACGGAUCUCUUGGUUCUGGCAUCGAUGAAGAACGCAGCGAAAUGCGAUAAGUAAUGUGAAUUGCAGAAUUCAGUGAAUCAUCGAAUCUUUGAACGCACAUUGCGCCCGCCAGUAUUCUGGCGGGCAUGCCUGUCCGAGCGUCAUUUCAACCCUCGAACCCCUCCGGGGGGUCGGCGUUGGGGAUCGGCCCUCCCUUAGCGGGUGGCCGUCUCCGAAAUACAGUGGCGGUCUCGCCGCAGCCUCUCCUGCGCAGUAGUUUGCACACUCGCAUCGGGAGCGCGGCGCGUCCACAGCCGUUAAACACCCAACUUCUGAAAUGUUGACCUCGGAUCA